GGGGGGGGGGGUGGGUGGGGAGGUUUAUUUUACAAUACUUGUUUACCUUCCUCCAAAUCUAUUUUCCAGCCCUAGGUUGCUACUAAUUUCUUUCAUUACUGCAUAACUCGACCAUUUCAUGCUAUUCCUUGUCUUCCUGAAUUAGUUAAAAGCUAUUGCCUCCUGGAAACAUCAGAGUCUUCAGUCUUUGCAAACCUUCCUCGGAUCCUUGGUUGACUGUCUGCAAGAGCCUUCCUUAAUUUUCCUGCCAAAAUUCCGCUUUGUCUUCUUAUUCCUGUACCUGGAAAGCUUUUCCCUACGGUCUUCAGUCGUGCAGCUGCUGAUAAUUAAUGGCCGAUCAAGGGGAGAAUGGAUGACGCCCAUGUUGCCAUUACCAAGAGUCUUUAUAUCUCCCUCGCUAUAUGCUCUUCUCAUCCCAUAAACAGUUCCAAGAUCCACUCCCGAAAAAUCCAGAAAAUUUGGCUUCACUGCAGCCCCUUGCACCCACUCUAUUGAGCUCAAACAUCCAGAGCUGACACUUUUUGGUAAUGGUGCAUCAGGAAGGAGUUUGUUUUCUUCAAUCUGGUUCUCAUUAAUCCGCAAGACAGGAAUUUUGAUGUCCAGAAUCUCUGAGAGUGGUGCUUCUAUGGCCGCUUUUUCCAUGAGGUCUUUCUUGCACUCAUAGAAAACCUCACUCAGAAGUUGGUCAGUUUGAAUUGAUUCAAUAUCUGCCACCUUUAGUCCUUGCGAGGAGAUGACUUCUUCCCCACAGGAGAUCAUUGAAAUGGCUGCUGUCAUGGGAUCAAGGCCCCCAAGUGGCAGUUCAAUGAUUGGUUCAGGAGCUUUGAAUAGAUCCCCUUCUCCUCCCAGGUCAUAUUCUGAUAUGGUGGAAGUCUGAAUUAUGUUGUUCAUUGAAGCAUUGUUCUUCUGGUAGUUGCAGUAGUCUUCAAGUUGCUGAAUAUCUUGAUAGAAAUUCUGCAUAUAGGGAAGCAACAGCCCAGUAUCUGCAUACAUUCUCUAAAGUUUGCAGUCACUCUGUUUUCAGAAGCAGAGAACUUUUGUUCUAUUAGAAAAAAGAGAAAUCACCUCUUGAAAAACAGGGCAAAACAGAGCACAAGCAAAAGAGACACUAAGCAAAGCAGCCAAAGUGUAAAAGAUUGUUUUAGUCUUUGGCUUUGAAUUGGUUUUGAU
rnacentral:misc_RNA from 1 species